rnacentral:rRNA from 1 species
UGGGGAAUAUUGCACAAUGGGCGCAAGCCUGAUGCAGCCAUGCCGCGUGUAUGAAGAAGGCCUUCGGGUUGUAAAGUACUUUCAGCGGGGAGGAAGGCGACAGGGUUAAUAACCCUGUCGAUUGACGUUACCCGCAGAAGAAGCACCGGCUAACUCCGUGCCAGCAGCCGCGGUAAUACGGAGGGUGCAAGCGUUAAUCGGAAUUACUGGGCGUAAAGCGAGCGCAGACGGUUAUUUAAGUCUGAAGUGAAAGCCCUCAGCUCAACUGAGGAAUUGCUUUGGAAACUGGAUGACUUGAGUGCAGAAGAGGAGAGUGGAAUUCCAUGUGUAGCGGUGAAAUGCGUAGAUAUAUGGAGGAACACCAGUGGCGAAGGCGGCUCUCUGGUCUGUAACUGACGCUGAGGCUCGAAAGCGUGGGGAGCAAACAGG